UAGAGUUUGAUCAUGGCUCAGGACGAACGCUGGCGGCGUGCCUAAUACAUGCAAGUCGAACGAACUCUGGUAUUGAUUGGUGCUUGCAUCAUGAUUUACAUUUGAGUGAGUGGCGAACUGGUGAGUAACACGUGGGAAACCUGCCCAGAAGCGGGGGAUAACACCUGGAAACAGAUGCUAAUACCGCAUAACAACUUGGACCGCAUGGUCCGAGUUUGAAAGAUGGCUUCGGCUAUCACUUUUGGAUGGUCCCGCGGCGUAUUAGCUAGAUGGUGGGGUAACGGCUCACCAUGGCAAUGAUACGUAGCCGACCUGAGAGGGUAAUCGGCCACAUUGGGACUGAGACACGGCCCAAACUCCUACGGGAGGCAGCAGUAGGGAAUCUUCCACAAUGGACGAAAGUCUGAUGGAGCAACGCCGCGUGAGUGAAGAAGGGUUUCGGCUCGUAAAACUCUGUUGUUAAAGAAGAACAUAUCUGAGAGUAACUGUUCAGGUAUUGACGGUAUUUAACCAGAAAGCCACGGCUAACUACGUGCCAGCAGCCGCGGUAAUACGUAGGUGGCAAGCGUUGUCCGGAUUUAUUGGGCGUAAAGCGAGCGCAGGCGGUUUUUUAAGUCUGAUGUGAAAGCCUUCGGCUCAACCGAAGAAGUGCAUCGGAAACUGGGAAACUUGAGUGCAGAAGAGGACAGUGGAACUCCAUGUGUAGCGGUGAAAUGCGUAGAUAUAUGGAAGAACACCAGUGGCGAAGGCGGCUGUCUGGUCUGUAACUGACGCUGAGGCUCGAAAGUAUGGGUAGCAAACAGGAUUAGAUACCCUGGUAGUCCAUACCGUAAACGAUGAAUGCUAAGUGUUGGAGGGUUUCCGCCCUUCAGUGCUGCAGCUAACGCAUUAAGCAUUCCGCCUGGGGAGUACGGCCGCAAGGCUGAAACUCAAAGGAAUUGACGGGGGCCCGCACAAGCGGUGGAGCAUGUGGUUUAAUUCGAAGCUACGCGAAGAACCUUACCAGGUCUUGACAUACUAUGCAAAUCUAAGAGAUUAGACGUUCCCUUCGGGGACAUGGAUACAGGUGGUGCAUGGUUGUCGUCAGCUCGUGUCGUGAGAUGUUGGGUUAAGUCCCGCAACGAGCGCAACCCUUAUUAUCAGUUGCCAGCAUUAAGUUGGGCACUCUGGUGAGACUGCCGGUGACAAACCGGAGGAAGGUGGGGAUGACGUCAAAUCAUCAUGCCCCUUAUGACCUGGGCUACACACGUGCUACAAUGGAUGGUACAACGAGUUGCGAACUCGCGAGAGUAAGCUAAUCUCUUAAAGCCAUUCUCAGUUCGGGAUUGUAGGCUGCAACUCGCCUACAUGAAGUCGGAAUCGCUAGUAAUCGCGGAUCAGCAUGCCGCGGUGAAUACGUUCCCGGGCCUUGUACACACCGCCCGUCACACCAUGAGAGUUUGUAACACCCAAAGUCGGUGGGGUAACCUUUUAGGAACCAGCCGCCUAAGGUGGGACAGAUGAUUAGGGUGAAGUCGUAACAAGGUAGCCGUA
rnacentral:rRNA from 2 species